rnacentral:rRNA from 1 species
AGCGAACGCUGGCGGCAGGCCUAACACAUGCAAGUCGAACGAACCCUUCGGGGUUAGUGGCGGACGGGUGAGUAACACGUGGGAACGUGCCUUUAGGUUCGGAAUAACUCAGGGAAACUUGUGCUAAUACCGAAUGAGUCCUUCGGGGGAAAGAUUUAUCGCCUUUAGAGCGGCCCGCGUCUGAUUAGCUAGUUGGUGAGGUAAUGGCUCACCAAGGCUACGAUCAGUAGCUGGUCUGAGAGGAUGACCAGCCACAUUGGGACUGAGACACGGCCCAAACUCCUACGGGAGGCAGCAGUGGGGAAUCUUGCGCAAUGGGCGAAAGCCUGACGCAGCCAUGCCGCGUGGAUGAUGAAGGUCUUAGGAUUGUAAAAUCCUUUCACCGGUGAAGAUAAUGACUGUAGCCGGAGAAGAAGCCCCGGCUAACUUCGUGCCAGCCGCCGCGGUAACAC